rnacentral:tRNA from 1 species
AGAGAGAUGGCUCAGUGGUUAAGAGCAUUGGUUGCUCUUCUGGAGGACCUGGAUUUGAUUUCCAGUGUCUAUA